UACGUAGGGUGCGAGCGUUAAUCGGAAUUACUGGGCGUAAAGCGUGCGCAGGCGGUUCGUUGUGUCGGCGGUGAAAGCCCCGGGCUUAACCUGGGAAUUGCGUUGGAGACUGCAAGGCUGGAGUCUGGCAGAGGGGGGUAGAAUUCCACGUGUAGCAGUGAAAUGCGUAGAGAUGUGGAGGAACACCGAUGGCGAAGGCAGCCCCCUGGGUCAAGACUGACGCUCAUGCACGAAAGCGUGGGGAGCAAACAGG
rnacentral:rRNA from 1 species